UACGAAGGGGGCUAGCGUUGCUCGGAAUCACUGGGCGUAAAGGGUGCGUAGGCGGGUCUUUAAGUCAGGGGUGAAAUCCUGGAGCUCAACUCCAGAACUGCCUUUGAUACUGAGGAUCUUGAGUUCGGGAGAGGUGAGUGGAACUGCGAGUGUAGAGGUGAAAUUCGUAGAUAUUCGCAAGAACACCAGUGGCGAAGGCGGCUCACUGGCCCGAUACUGACGCUGAGGCUCGAAAGCGUGGGGAGCAAACAGG
rnacentral:rRNA from 1 species